ACUUUUUAAGAAACAACAGGUGAACGGCGCUGAACAGACAAGUGACCGGUGCGGCGGUGCUGGGAGCAAACAGCCGAAGGGAAUGACAACACGCAUAGUAUGCUGGGUAAAUCGGCGCCCGAAGGAUAGAACUUCCGCUUCCGCCUGGCUCCGGCGGCGCAGGUUGUGUUCCACUCGCGGAUUUGGAGGCAUUGCUCUACGCCAGAGUCGAGUGCUCGCUCGCGGAGCCCGUUGGCUGCUCCGGCUCCGCCAUUGGAAUUCAACA
rnacentral:lncRNA from 1 species